UCCUCCUCUGGUAAGAAAUCACUGUGGGGUAAGAUCACUUCUGAUAACAAUAAACACUAGCUUGGCCCCCAGACCAGCAGUACAAUUUCCUGAGUCAUGGGCAAAGGGGGUAUAAAUCCUAAAGCAUCCAAUAAAGAGUGUAAAUGUUUUAACAUGGGAGUGUGAGUAUAAAUUGUGCAGCGCUUUAUACCUGUAGCAGAAAUACAACCCUGCUGUUCAAAUGGUGUAAAACAUACACCCCACUGGAAGUGAUUCAUUGGAGUAAAGUGGAAUUAAUCAUACAGCAUUGGGUAGAGCAGGUUUUUAAUCCUAUACCCUCAGGUAAAGACCUACCAGCCUGGGCUGUGAUCUUAUCAAACCAAUUCUCCUCUCUUCUAAUUUCCACAUCAGUGGGUCUGCUGACCAGGAGAAAAGGGAGCAAUGGAGGAGGAUAAGGAAAGAGAAACUCAGUGACUUCUCUUCCUCAAUCUUCACUCUAAGGGACAGUGAGGGGACAUCUGCUUUUUUCCAGGUCGGAAGAAUCUCCCAUGUGAGAGGAUCAGAACUGAACGACCAGCAGUCAUCUCGCCUCCAGGGCUACUGGGACCAGCGUCUCUGGCUAGAGCUGAAAGGGAUAAGAACGUCACCAAUCAGAAAGUCCUUUCAGGAUUAACUCACAAGCGUCUUCGGGAUAUUUCAUCUCUUCCAGAGCUGCUCUUUUCCUGCUUCAUGGAACAGGCGGAUGCCAGCACCACAGCAAGAGGAAUUUCAGGAAAAGAGGUAAAAUAAGAAAAGGACAAUGCUACUGGUUAAAUGGAACCUACCACCAGCAGUAGGACGAGCCUCUAGAACCCCAUGCAGCAAUUACUCCAGAAUCAAGGAGAGGUGAAACAGACAGAAAAGACGUCCCUAUCAUACCGAAUAUCUCAGGCCUGCCAUCCUAUAUCAUCCCUCCCAUGAACUACCAUACAGAGAGAGCCAUGUAUCCUAGAACUCCAGACAGCUGCAGGCUGCCUCUGGCGCACUGGACUCCAUAGCGAUCAUCCAGAUGUUGAUACUUGGAUAUCAUGGUGAGAGGAACUUUACAAAUACCUUAGAUUAGACUCAGAUUUAAAGACAUAGCAGGACAUUUGUAAGUUUCAGGGUGGUUUUUUCUUUUUGGAAAACCAGAAAAUUUUCAAAAGAAACAACUAUUUUCUGUGCAAAUUUUCAUUUUGAAAAAAGGCCAUGUUUUUCGUCAAAAGCAAGCUUCCCCUCCCCCCCCUCCAGAAGUAGCCUAUGCCUAAGUUUUGAAUGAGUUUUAACUAUAUGGAAAGUUCACAGGGUUAGCAACAAGCUGGCUAUUAACUAGAGAAACAAGAAAAGGUGAGACUCAGAAAAAUUCCCUAAGGGCCCAUUUUAAUUAAUCAACAGGUUUACUAGCAAAUCCAGUGUUUGUUCACACCUUACAUGGGGAGGGUGCAUUGUAUUCAUACAAACCAUUUCAUAAUGGGGUCCUGGUCCACAAGUCGGGUUCCUAGGCACUACGAUAAUACAAAUAAAAU
rnacentral:lncRNA from 1 species